rnacentral:piRNA from 1 species
UGCCUUCUCAUGUGAACUGAUGUCUCUUGU